UACGAAGGGGGCUAGCGUUGCUCGGAAUGACUGGGCGUAAAGGGCGCGUAGGCGGUUUGUACAGUCAGGUGUGAAAUUCCCGGGCUCAACCUGGGGGCUGCACUUGAUACGUAUGGACUUGAGUGGGGAAGAGGGUCGUGGAAUUCCCAGUGUAGAGGUGAAAUUCGUAGAUAUUGGGAAGAACACCGGUGGCGAAGGCGGCGACCUGGUCCGUGACUGACGCUGAGGCGCGAAAGCGUGGGGAGCAAACAGG
rnacentral:rRNA from 1 species